UGGCUGAGUGGUAGAGCGCUGGCCUAGCAUGCCUGAGGCCCUGGGUUCAAUUCCUUG
rnacentral:tRNA from 1 species